UACGGGGGGGGCAAGCGUUGUUCGGAAUUACUGGGCGUAAAGGGCUCGUAGGUGGCCAACUAAGUCAGACGUGAAAUCCCCAGGCUCAACUUGGGAACUGCGUCUGAUACUGGAUGGCUUGAAUUCGGGAGAGGGAUGCAGAAUUCCAGGUGUAGCGGUGAAAUGCGUAGAGAUGUGGAGGAACACCAGUGGCGAAGGCGGCUUUCUGGUCUGUAACUGACGCUGAGGCGCGAAAGCGUGGGGAGCAAACAGG
rnacentral:rRNA from 1 species